rnacentral:lncRNA from 1 species
AGAAAGGAGGGGGAGGGAGGGGGGAAAUUCUGAAGAGGAGGCAACUUCCUAAAAUGCUGAGGAGACUACAGGAACAGAACUCUUGAGCUGUGGAUAGUGAAGCAGAAAGUAUCUGACUAUAGAGUAAAAAGAGGGUAAACGUGAGAUACUUGUACCUUUUCUUCAGUGUACUCCACCACAUGCAUUAUAAAUAAUAAAAAAACUAAAUUACAUUUUUGUUUAAGGAUGGCUUUUUAAGUGGGCCAAGUGUAAUUUCAGCAGAUUUAUGCCCAAAAUAAUUUCUCUCCUUUUUCUUACCAAGAACUGAAAUUCCUAACAUAAAGAACAAUCUCUCAUUUCACAAUUAAAAGGAAAACUCAAAAUGCAAAUACCAAGGUUCUCGAAACAACAUACGGUGGUUACGUUUCUAUUAGUAUGGAUGAACAAUAUCAUAUAUCCUCCCUAGACAGAGAAAAAAAGAAGUUAAAGACAAAAAGUCAUAGCUCCAAGAAAUGCAGACAUAUUUCAACCUAGAGAAGAGGAAGAAAAAAUAGAGUUGGAGACACCAGUGACAAACUAUCAGCUUUACCAUCUUGUCCAAAAGCAACUCUAUCCAGUUUCAAGUCUGCAUAGAUAUCUAGGAUCAAUGCAUGCUCGGAUACUGCACCUAAAAGGACCUCUGAUCAUGAGGCAUGCAUGACAUUUAUUAAAACCAGGGCCAGUGAGAGUCCCAUAAGAUUGAAGGGCACAUAAAAAUAAGCUCAACAAAGAAAAACAUUCUUUAAAUUUUUACCUUAAAAUUCCAUUUAGUUCAUUUAUACAUAGAAAAUGUCAGCCUAUACUAAAACAGACCUGCUAUAAUAACAGAUUCCACCCAUACCACUGUUAUUUGCAUUUCUGGACGGCCUUUAAAACCACAAAUCCAAGUCUAAUUAAAUAUCCAUCAGUGAAAGAUCAUGGUAAAGAAUGUAAGAUCUAGAGACAGACAAUCUGGUGUGAAUUCUGGCUUGGCUACUAACUUAUUAGUUGUAUUACUCUGUGUAUACCCUAUAACCACUAUUAAGUGUUAAUUCCCUCCUCUGUAUACAAGGGAUAGUAUCUGGUUUACAGAAUAAAGUGGGUUACAUGAGAAAAUGUACAUAAAGCCCUUAACACAAUUUUUGGCACAACAAAUGUUAAAUAAACAUUAGUAAUGAAAGUUCUUGUUAUUCAUGCUAUUCUUCUGCUUAGAGCACCUUGGUGGUAUCAAUGUGAUAGAAUGUAACAAUCCAUCCCAAUAUAGACUGUGGGGUCUUCAUUCUUGAAAAAAAUUUUCAAUUAACUAGCCAAUUAAUUAAUUUAAAAAGCCUAACAUCUUAUAACUCUAUAAAUAUUCACUUAUUUAUCUACGUUUUAAGACCAGAAAAUUCUACUUAGCUCCACAUUUAACCAAAAUGAUCAAUAUGGGAAAUAUUGAUAAUAUCUGUGAAAGACACAAAAAAGUUUGAUAGCUUUUGAAUAUGGAAGUUGGAGAAUUCCAAAGCAAUAGAACCUAUUGAAUUAAUUCAGACAUAUAUCAUGAGUUCACCAUUGUAUUCCCUAGGACUUAGAGUNCUUAGUACUCUGCUAGGUAAUACUAU